rnacentral:rRNA from 1 species
CCUACGGGAGGCUGCAGUCGAGAAUCAUUCACAAUGGGGGAAACCCUGAUGGUGCGACGCCGCGUGGGGGAAUGCAGGUCUUCGGAUUGUAAACCCCUGUCAUGUGGGAGCAAAUUAAAAAGAUAGUACCACAAGAGGAAGAGACGGCUAACUCUGUGCCAGCAGCCGCGGUAAUACAGCGGUCUCAAGCGUUGUUCGGAAUCACUGGGCGUAAGGCGUGCGUAGGCGGUUUCGUAAGUCGUGUGUGAAAGGCGCGGGCUAAACCAGAGGACGGCACAUGAUACUGCGAGACUAGGGUAAAGGAGGGGGAACCGGAAUUCUCGGUGUAGCAGUGAAAUGCGUAGAUAUCGAGAGGAACACUCGUGGCGAAGGCGGGUUCCUGGACAUUAACUGACGCUGAGGCACGAAGGCCAGGGGAGCGAAAGGGAUUAGAUACCCUGGUAGUC